rnacentral:rRNA from 1 species
UUUAUCUUAGUGGCGACGGGUGAGUAACGCGUUGGGUAACCUGCCCUGUACAGGGGGAUAACACUUAGAAAUAGGUGCUAAAACCGCAUAAGCGCACAGUACCGCAUGGUACAGUGUGAAAAACUCCGGUGGUACAGGAUGGACCCGCGUCUGAUUAGCUGGUUGGAGGGGUAACGGCCCACCAAGGCGACGAUCAGUAGCCGGCCUGAGAGGGUGAACGGCCACAUUGGGACUGAGACACGGCCCAAACUCCUACGGAAGGCAGCAG